rnacentral:rRNA from 1 species
GUGGGGAAUAUUGGACAAUGGGCGAAAGCCUGAUCCAGCCAUGCCGCGUGUGUGAAGAAGGUCUUCGGAUUGUAAAGCACUUUAAGUUGGGAGGAAGGGCAGUAAGUUAAUACCUUGCUGUUUUGACGUUACCAACAGAAUAAGCACCGGCUAACUUCGUGCCAGCAGCCGCGGUAAUACGAAGGGUGCAAGCGUUAAUCGGAAUUACUGGGCGUAAAGCGCGCGUAGGUGGUUCAGCAAGUUGGAGGUGAAAUCCCCGGGCUCAACCUGGGAACUGCCUCCAAAACUACUGAGCUAGAGUACGGGAGAGGGUAGUGGAAUUUCCUGUGUAGCGGUGAAAUGCGUAGAUAUAGGAAGGAACACCAGUGGCGAAGGCGACUACCUGGACUGAUACUGACACUGAGGUGCGAAAGCGUGGGGAGCAAACAGGAUUAGAUACCCUAGUAGUCC